rnacentral:tRNA from 1 species
AGAUGUUAAAUAGAUUUACCUAUAUUUGUUUACGGUACAAAAAGAUUUUACAUCUU